AAUAGAUACCCCCGGGUAGUCCACGCCGUAAACGAUGGAUGCUAGCUGUUAGAAGUAUCGACCCUUCUAGUAGCGAAGCUAACGCGUUAAGCAUCCCGCCUGUGGAGUACGGUCGCAAGACUAAAACAUAAAGGAAUUGACGGGGACCCGCACAAGCGGUGGAGCGUGUUGUUUAAUUCGAUGAUAAGCGAAGAACCUUACCCAGACUUGACAUCCUUGGAAGGCAUCCGAAAGGAUACUGUGCCCUCGGGAACCAAGUGACAGGUGUUGCAUGGCCGUCGUCAGCUCGUGUCGUGAGAUGUUUGGUUAAGUCCAUUAACGAGCGCAACCCUUUUAGUUAGUUGUAUUUUCUAGCUAGACUGCCCCGGUAACGGGAGAGGGAGGGGAUGAUGUCAGGUCAGUAUUACCCUUACGUCUGGGGCUACAAACACGCUACAAUGGCCGGUACAAAGGGCUGCCAACCCGCGAGGGGGAGCAAAUCUCAAUCAAAGCCGGUCUCAGUUCGGAUAGCAGGCUGAAACUCGCCUGCUUGAAGUCGGAAUCGCUAGUAAUGGU
rnacentral:rRNA from 1 species